rnacentral:rRNA from 1 species
AGGGCACCACCAGGAGUGGAGCCUGCGGCUUAAUUUGACUCAACACGGGGAAACUCACCAGGUCCAGACACAAUAAGGAUUGACAGAUUGAGAGCUCUUUCUUGAUUUUGUGGGUGGUGGUGCAUGGCCGUUCUUAGUUGGUGGAGUGAUUUGUCUGCUUAAUUGCGAUAACGAACGAGACCUUAGCCCUUAAAUAGAGUUGCUGGCAUUUGCUGGUAAAUCUUCUUAUGGGGACUAUCGAUUUCAAGUCGAUGGAAGUUUGAGGCA